UUUCCGUGGGUGAACCUGCGGAAGGAUCAUUACCGAGUGAGGGCCCUCUGGGUCCAACCUCCCACCCGUGUUUAUCGUACCUUGUUGCUUCGGCGGGCCCGCCUCACGGCCGCCGGGGGGCACCCGCCCCCGGGCCCGCGCCCGCCGAAGACACCAUUGAACGCUGUCUGAAGAUUGCAGUCUGAGCAUCUUAGCUAAAUCAGUUAAAACUUUCAACAACGGAUCUCUUGGUUCCG
rnacentral:misc_RNA from 1 species